rnacentral:rRNA from 1 species
GAUGAACGCUAGCGGCAGGCCUAAUACAUGCAAGUCGAGGGGUAGAGAUAGCUUGCUAACUUGAGACCGGCGCACGGGUGCGUAACGCGUAUGCAACCUACCUUUAUCUGGGGGAUAGCCCGAAGAAAUUCGGAUUAACACCGCAUAAAAUCACAGUAUCGCAUGAUACAAUGAUCAAAUAUUUAUAGGAUAAAGAUGGGCAUGCGUGUCAUUAGUUAGUUGGCGGGGUAACGGCCCACCAAGACCACGAUGACUAGGGGAUCUGAGAGGAUGACCCCCCACACUGGUACUGAGACACGGACCAG